GAGUGAACGCUGGCGGUAGGCCUAACACAUGCACGUCGAACGGCAGCCCAGUAAGAGCUUGCUCUUACGGGUGGCGAGUGGCGGACGGGUGAGGAAUACAUCGGAAUCUACUUUUUCGUGGGGGAUAACGUAGGGAAACUUACGCUAAUACCGCAUACGACCUACGGGUGAAAGCAGGGGAUCUUCGGACCUUGCGCGAUUGAAUGAGCCGAUGUCGGAUUAGCUAGUUGGCGGGGUAAAGGCCCACCAAGGCGACGAUCCGUAGCUGGUCUGAGAGGAUGAUCAGCCACACUGGAACUGAGACACGGUCCAGACUCCUACGGGAGGCAGCAGUGGGGAAUAUUGGACAAUGGGCGCAAGCCUGAUCCAGCCAUACCGCGUGGGUGAAGAAGGCCUUCGGGUUGUAAAGCCCUUUUGUUGGGAAAGAAAAGCAGCAGGUUAAUACCCCGCUGUUCUGACGGUACCCAAAGAAUAAGCACCGGCUAACUUCGUG
rnacentral:rRNA from 1 species